GAGUAACACGUAUCCAACCUGCCGUCUACUCUUGGACAGCCUUCUGAAAGGAAGAUUAAUACAAGAUGGCAUCAUGAGUCCGCAUGUUCACAUGAUUAAAGGUAUUCCGGUAGACGAUGGGGAUGCGUUCCAUUAGAUAGUAGGCGGGGUAACGGCCCACCUAGUCUUCGAUGGAUAGGGGUUCUGAGAGGAAGGUCCCCCACAUUGGAACUGAGACACGGUCCAAACUCAUACGGGAGGCAGCAGUGAGGAAUAUUGGUCAAUGGGCGAGAGCCUGAACCAGCCAAGUAGCGUGAAGGAUGACUGCCCUAUGGGUUGUAAACUUCUUUUAUAAAGGAAUAAAGUCGGGUAUGCAUACCCGUUUGCAUGUACUUUAUGAAUAAGGAUCGGCUAACUCCGUGCCAGCAGCCGCGGUAAUACGGAGGAUCCGAGCGUUAUCCGGAUUUAUUGGGUUUAAAGGGAGCGUAGAUGGAUGUUUAAGUCAGUUGUGAAAGUUUGCGGCUCAACCGUAAAAUUGCAGUUGAUACUGGAUAUCUUGAGUGCAGUUGAGGCAGGCGGAAUUCGUGGUGUAGCGGUGAAAUGCUUAGAUAUCACGAAGAACUCCGAUUGCGAAGGCAGCCUGCUAAGCUGCAACUGACAUUGAGGCUCGAAAGUGUGGGUAUCAAACAGGAU
rnacentral:rRNA from 1 species